CAGGAGGGAAAUACUACCGGUUAAUAACCGGUGGGGCUGACGGUACCUGAGGAAUAAGCACCGGCUAACUUCGUCCCAGCAGCCGCGGUAAUACGAAGGGUGCAAGCGUUAAUCGGAAUUACUGGGCGUAAAGGGUGCGUAGGCGGUUCGUUAAGUCUGUCGUGAAAUCCCCGGGCUCAACCUGGGAAUGGCGAUGGAUACUGGCGAGCUAGAGUGUGUCAGAGGAUGGUGGAAUUUCCGGUGUAGCGGUGAAAUGCGUAGAGAUCGGAAGGAACAUCAGUGGCGAAGGCGGCCAUCUGGGACAACACUGACGCUGAAGCACGAAAGCGUGGGGAGCAAACAGGAUUAGAUACCCUGGUAGUCCACGCCCUAAACGAUGCGAACUGGAUGUUGGUCUCAACUCGGAGAUCAGUGUCGAAGCUAACGCGUUAAGUUCGCCGCCUGGGGAGUACGGUCGCAAGACUGAAACUCAAAGGAAUUGACGGGGGCCCGCACAAGCGGUGGAGUAUGUGGUUUAAUUCGAUGCAACGCGAAGAACCUUACCUGGCCUUGACAUGUCCGGAAUCCUGCAGAGAUGCGGGAGUGCCUUCGGGAAUCGGAACACAGGUGCUGCAUGGCUGUCGUCAGCUCGUGUCGUGAGAUGUUGGGUUAAGUCCCGCAACGAGCGCAACCCUUGUCCUUAGUUGCCAGCGAGUAAUGUCGGGAACUCUAAGGAGACUGCCGGUGACAAACCGGAGGAAGGUGGGGAUGACGUCAAGUCCUCAUGGCCCUUACGGCCAGGGCUACACACGUACUACAAUGGUCGGUACAGAGGGUUGCGAAGCCGCGAGGUGGAGCCAAUCCCAGAAAGCCGAUCCCAGUCCGGAUCGAAGUCUGCAACUCGACUUCGUGAAGUCGGAAUCGCUAGUAAUCGCGGAUCAGCUAUGCCGCGGUGAAUACGUUCCCGGGCCUUGUACACACCGCCCGUCACACCAUGGGAGUGAGUUGCUCCA
rnacentral:rRNA from 1 species